UACGAAGGGUGCAAGCGUUAAUCGGAAUUACUGGGCGUAAAGCGUGCGUAGACGGUUAUGUAAGUCAGAUGUGAAAGCCCCGGGCUCAACCUGGGAAUUGCAUUUGAGACUGCAUAGCUAGGGUGCGGAAGAGGGAAGCGGAAUUUCCGGUGCAGCGGUGAAAUGCGUAGAUAUCGGAAGGAACACCAGUGGCGAAAGCGGCUUCCUGGUCCAGCACCGACGUUCAGGCACGAAAGCGUGGGGAGCAAACAGG
rnacentral:rRNA from 1 species